rnacentral:tRNA from 1 species
GGGGGUGUGGCUCAAGGGGUAGAGCACAUGCUUAGCAUGCACAGGGUCCUGGGUUCAAUCCCCAGCACCUCCU